AAGUGCUAUAGCACGUUACAGCAGUUUCCAUGGCUCAGGUUGGAAAUUGCACCGUCCUGAAAAUUCCUGCUGGCCUCCAAACCAUUGCUCGCAGAGGAUGCCCCACGUUCCAGUGUUUCCCAUCAAGCAUCUCUGUCACCUGAGGUCGGUGAGAAGCCAGAGCCUCAGUGACCACACCCCCGACCUUCCACCACCAGAAUCUACCAGGACCGAGAAGGAGGGCAGCCUGCCAGCUCUCGCCUUUUCUCACCACCUGCCACCAACCUGGGGCCAGAUCUGUGCAGCUUCCCUCUCAGCCCGUGCCCUGAACUCCCUCCACGGCGUCCCCCAAAACAACUUGGGCUGUCAGGGUAUUUCACACCAGUUCAUUUCAUACUUCAUUGACUCUAUUAAACGAGGAAGAUAAGACUUCCA